rnacentral:rRNA from 1 species
UACGGGGGGGUAAGCGUUGUUCGGAAUUACUGGGCGUAAAGGGCUCGUAGGCGGCCAACUAAGUCGGACGUGAAAUCCCUCAGCUUAACCGGGGAACUGCCUCUGAUACUGGAUGGCUUGAGAUUGGGAGAGGGAUGCGGAAUUCCAGGUGUAGCGGUGAAAUGCGUAGAUAUCUGGAGGAACACCGGUGGCGAAGGCGGCAUCCUGGACCAACACUGACGCUGAGGAGCGAAAGCCAGGGGAGCAAACGGG